UUUAGCACAAAUAACUUAUUUAAGGUAGACUCAGCGAUAUGGCGUCGAUGCAGAAAGUAAACGGCAUAGUGGGGCAAUUUCCGCAGCAACUAAGAGCGUUGACGCGUGACGCUCAAUUUCUCCGCUGUUUUGGUGCUCUAGCUACCACACUGUGAACAGCGCGUAGCGAACCCGUUUCACAUACAGGUCCUGUGUGAGAGCGAAGUCUUGCAUCUUAUUCAUCUUAAUGUCUGCCCUGCUGCUCGUGGCAAAAUAAUUUCUCACUCACUGCCUGCUCUGUGGACAUAAUACUGUACAUUCAAGCCUGUUCAGAUUUUUUGUUCUCAUCCUUCGUUCGCACAGGGCCGUCCCGUAGAGGGGCCGUCCCGUAGAGGGGCUGACACAGAGAGCGAGAAUUAUGGUUCAAGUUUCUCCUCGUCAGUAUGUUAUGUGCUGCUGCUGUAUUGAACUGUUUGUGGUUCAUUCUGCAUGUUUGCACUGUUACCGUGAGAGUGGAAGAGAAGAGUUGAUGAGUCGUCAUUUUGGUGGAAGAGAAAGGUGCCGUUGUCUCUAAUAUCAUGUUGUAGGGAUUGUUUCGAUGGUCUAGACAUGGAGGGAGUGAUUGAGAGCUGUCAUUCUUCUACUGGGGUCAACUAAUAGAUGACGUGUGUGUGUGUGUGUGUUGUGUUUAUAUAUCUUUCAACUCGUAUGGAUUUGAUGAGCUUGUAAUCUCUUGUGAUAGACUAAAUUGAGUUAGCUGGUUAGCUGGGCUCCCGAGUGGCUCAGCGGUCUAAGGCACUGCAUCUCAGAGCUUGAGGAGUCACUACAGACACCCUGGUUCGAAUCCAGGCUGUAUCACAACUGGCCGUAGUUGGGAGUCCCAUAGGGCGGCGCAUAAUUGGCCCAGCGUUGUCCGGGGUUGUCCAGUGUAGGCCGUGAUUGUAAAAUAAGAAUUUGUUCUUAACUGACUUGCCUAGUUAAAUAAAGGUAAGAAAAAAAAGAAAGCUAGUUACAUUAUUGUGGUUAUAUCAUGAUGUCAUUGCCAGAUGUCUAUGGGUGCAGCAGAGCCAUAGUACCAGAGCCUCAGCAGGCGAAAGUUGUGGAAUGGUGCAAAUAGAUGUCAUAAAUAGAACUGACAUAAUUCCUUCUACAAGACAGUUAUAUCUGCAACUUUCUGUAACACCUUUCACCUUCCUGAGAAGACCCCUAAACGGGUUUGUGCUGUGUCAUGUUUCUGACCACUGACAGGAGAAAAGGACCCGGGAGGAAGGGAGGGAGAAGGAGAGACUAGAGAGGGAGUGGGAGAGGCAGAAAGAGGGAGGAUAAUGGAUAUCCAGUGUCCACGCUGCUGAUCCAUGAUAUGAAUACUGCAGCGAUGGCUUAGCCUCCUGGCCCUCUGGCAGCUGCCCCUCAAUUUGUCUAAUGAAACUAUUAUCUAGUUAGACUGGCUGGCCAUUGUUCAGUCUGGGUAGGGCUGCCACUGGGCUGAUCCUGGAACUAUCCUGUCAGGGCUUUAGCCUGUUGAACAAUGAUAAGGAUGGGACGCACUCCAGGAACAAUUCAAGCCUUUCCCCCCCGUCUAAAUAAUAAGAUUUAGACAAACAGAAGCCAGUAUUCGGCAUUCAUUAGAGCGUCUGCUAAAUGACUUAAAUGUAAAUGUAAAUGUCUGUCUACCACAGCUUACUGUUAUUAUAACAAUGGCUGGUUGUCUAAGGGUGGAAUAACAUGAUAUACAUUUGAUGUUAUCCAGUGAUGCCUCGCUUAUUCAAGUCACCUGGAAUUUUGUUUAACAUACUGUAACUUUUUGGGUUCACAGAUCACCUGCUGCAACUCGGAAAACAGGCUAGCUGUUUCAGGUUCAACACAUCCAUCUUCCUCCAGCAGUGUCAUUUCCUCAGGCAUGCAGGCCACUCAGAAAAGGCUGUGCGCCUGUUCCAGUGCCUGCUGGAUUUGACCUUCUUCAAGCCAGACACUGUCAAGGACCUAUCCACCAGACAACAGAUGAUAAAGAUCAGGAGGAAUCAGAGGUGAAGGAUAAGACCUGGCUCAAGUGGAGGAUCUGGUUGGACGCGGAGACGUUACAUGAGGCCAUCUAUUGGCUGCCGUGGAGGGCAGACAAAACCAAAGGCCAAUCGGUGGAGGACUGUGAGGACCCGGACUUACAGCCUACAGUUCCUGAAGCCUGCUGCUGGAUGACCUGGCUCUGCUGGGGGACGUUCAUGAUCCUGACUCACCUCUGACGACCUUCCCGUCAGCCCUGUGGGUCACAUGACUUCGCUGCAGGGCACCAGGAGGGGGGCGUGGCUGUGCAAGCAGGGGGAGGAGUUUCUGUUCUCUACUCAGGAGAGAUCCGUCUUCUCACUGCACUGGAUCCAGUAUGAGAAGCU